CUACGUAGUUGAUCGAUGGCUCAGGACGACGCUGGCGGCGCGCCUAACACAUGCAAGUCGAACGGGGUGCGUUCGAAUGAAGUUUUCGGACGGAAUUUGGAUGUACCUAGUGGCGAACGGGUGAGUAACACGUGAAUAACCUGCCCUGGAGUGGGGGACAACAGUUGGAAACGACUGCUAAUACCGCAUAAAGCCUGAGGGUGAAAGCAGCAAUGCGCUAUCAGAUGAGCUCGCGUCCAAUUAGCUGGUUGGUGAGGUAACGGCCCACCAAGGCGACGAUUGGUAGCCGGACUGAGAGGUUGAACGGCCACAUUGGGACUGAGACACGGUCCAAACUCCUACGGGAGGCAGCAGUGAGGAAUAUUGGUCAAUGGGCGAGAGCCUGAACCAGCCAAGUAGCGUGCAGGACGACGGCCCUAUGGGUUGUAAACUGCUUUUAUAAGGGAAUAAAGUGGGUCUCGUGAGACUUUUUGCAUGUACCUUAUGAAUAAGGACCGGCUAAUUCCGUG
rnacentral:rRNA from 1 species